UUGCGAACGGGUGAGUAACGCGUAGGUAACCUGCCUGGUAGCGGGGGAUAACUAUUGGAAACGAUAGCUAAUACCGCAUAACAGCAGAUGUUGCAUGAUAUCUGCUUGAAAGGGGCAAUUGCUCCACUACCAGAUGGACCUGCGUUGUAUUAGCUAGUUGGUGAGGUAACGGCUCACCAAGGCGACGAUACAUAGCCGACCUGAGAGGGUGAUCGGCCACACUGGGACUGAGACACGGCCCAGACUCCUACGGGAGGCAGCAGUAGGGAAUCUUCGGCAAUGGGGGGAACCCUGACCGAGCAACGCCGCGUGAGUGAAGAAGGUUUUCGGAUCGUAAAGCUCUGUUGUAAGAGAAGAACGAGUGUGAGAGUGGAAAGUUCACACUGUGACGGUAUCUUACCAGAAAGGGACGGCUAACUACGUGCCAGCAGCCGCGGUAAUACGUAGGUCCCGAGCGUUAUCCGGAUUUAUUGGGCGUAAAGCGAGCGCAGGCGGUUAGAUAAGUCUGAAGUUAAAGGCUGUGGCUUAACCAUAGUACGCUUUGGAAACUGUUUAACUUGAGUGCAGAAGGGGAGAGUGGAAUUCCAUGUGUAGCGGUGAAAUGCGUAGAUAUAUGGAGGAACACCGGUGGCGAAAGCGGCUCUCUGGUCUGUAACUGACGCUGAGGCUCGAAAGCGUG
rnacentral:rRNA from 1 species